rnacentral:rRNA from 1 species
UUAAGCGACUAAGCGUACACGGUGGAUGCCCUGGCAGUCAGAGGCGAUGAAGGACGUGCUAAUCUGCGAAAAGCGUCGGUAAGGUGAUAUGAACCGUUAUAACCGGCGAUGUCCGAAUGGGGAAACCCAGUGCAAUUCGUUGCACUAUCGUUAACUGAAUACAUAGGUUAACGAGGCGAACCGGGGGAACUGAAACAUCUAAGUACCCCGAGGAAAAGAAAUCAACCGAGAUUCCCCCAGUAGCGGCGAGCGAACGGGGAGCAGCCCAGAGUCUGAAUCAGCUUGUGUGUUAGUGGAACGGUCUGGAAAGUCCGACGGUACAGGGUGAUAGUCCCGUACACCAAAAUGCACAGGCUGUGAACUCGAAGAGUAGGGCGGGACACGUGGUAUCCUGUCUGAAUAUGGGGGGACCAUCCUCCAAGGCUAAAUACUCCUGACUGACCGAUAGUGAACCAGUACCGUGAGGGAAAGGCGAAAAGAACCCCGGCGAGGGGAGUGAAAAAGAACCUGAAACCGUGUACGUACAAGCAGUGGGAGCACCUUCGGGUGUGACUGCGUACCUUUUGUAUAAUGGGUCAGCGACUUAUAUUCUGUAGCAAGGUUAACCGUAUAGGGGAGCCGCAGGGAAACCGAGUCUUAACUGGGCGUUAAGUUGCAGGGUAUAGACCCGAAACCCGGUGAUCUAGCCAUGGGCAGGUUGAAGGUUGGGUAACACUAACUGGAGGACCGAACCGACUAAUGUUGAAAAAUUAGCGGAUGACUUGUGGCUGGGGGUGAAAGGCCAAUCAAACCGGGAGAUAGCUGGUUCUCCCCGAAAGCUAUUUAGGUAGCGCCUCGUGAACUCAUCUUCGGGGGUAGAGCACUGUUUCGGCUAGGGGGUCAUCCCGACUUACCAACCCGAUGCAAACUACGAAUACCGAAGAAUGUUAUCACGGGAGACACACGGCGGGUGCUAACGUCCGUCGUGAAGAGGGAAACAACCCAGACCGCCAGCUAAGGUCCCAAAGUCAUGGUUAAGUGGGAAACGAUGUGGGAAGGCACAGACAGCCAGGAUGUUGGCUUAGAAGCAGCCAUCAUUUAAAGAAAGCGUAAUAGCUCACUGGUCGAGUCGGCCUGCGCGGAAGAUGUAACGGGGCUAAACCAUGCACCGAAGCUGCGGCAGCGACACUAUGUGUUGUUGGGUAGGGGAGCGUUCUGUAAGCCUGCGAAGGUGUGCUGUGAGGCAUGCUGGAGGUAUCAGAAGUGCGAAUGCUGACAUAAGUAACGAUAAAGCGGGUGAAAAGCCCGCUCGCCGGAAGACCAAGGGUUCCUGUCCAACGUUAAUCGGGGCAGGGUGAGUCGACCCCUAAGGCGAGGCCGAAAGGCGUAGUCGAUGGGAAACAGGUUAAUAUUCCUGUACUUGGUGUUACUGCGAAGGGGGGACGGAGAAGGCUAUGUUAGCCGGGCGACGGUUGUCCCGGUUUAAGCAUGUAGGCUGAUUGUCCAGGCAAAUCCGGAUAAUCAAGGCUGAGGUGUGAUGACGAGGCACUACGGUGCUGAAGUAACAAAUGCCCUGCUUCCAGGAAAAGCCUCUAAGCAUCAGGUAACAUCAAAUCGUACCCCAAACCGACACAGGUGGUCAGGUAGAGAAUACCAAGGCGCUUGAGAGAACUCGGGUGAAGGAACUAGGCAAAAUGGUGCCGUAACUUCGGGAGAAGGCACGCUGGUGUGUAGGUGAAGUCCCUGCGGAUGGAGCUGAGACCAGUCGAAGAUACCAGCUGGCUGCAACUGUUUAUUAAAAACACAGCACUGUGCAAACACGAAAGUGGACGUAUACGGUGUGACGCCUGCCCGGUGCCGGAAGGUUAAUUGAUGGGGUUAUCCGUAAGGAGAAGCUCUUGAUCGAAGCCCCGGUAAACGGCGGCCGUAACUAUAACGGUCCUAAGGUAGCGAAAUUCCUUGUCGGGUAAGUUCCGACCUGCACGAAUGGCGUAAUGAUGGCCAGGCUGUCUCCACCCGAGACUCAGUGAAAUUGAACUCGCUGUGAAGAUGCAGUGUACCCGCGGCAAGACGGAAAGACCCCGUGAACCUUUACUAUAGCUUGACACUGAACAUUGAGCCUUGAUGUGUAGGAUAGGUGGGAGGCUUUGAAGCGUGGACGCCAGUCUGCGUGGAGCCAACCUUGAAAUACCACCCUUUAAUGUUUGAUGUUCUAACGUUGGCCCCUGACCGGGGUUGCGGACAGUGUCUGGUGGGUAGUUUGACUGGGGCGGUCUCCUCCCAAAGCGUAACGGAGGAGCACGAAGGUUAGCUAAUCCUGGUCGGACAUCAGGAGGUUAGUGCAAUGGCAUAAGCUAGCUUGACUGCGAGCGUGACGGCGCGAGCAGGUGCGAAAGCAGGUCAUAGUGAUCCGGUGGUUCUGAAUGGAAGGGCCAUCGCUCAACGGAUAAAAGGUACUCCGGGGAUAACAGGCUGAUACCGCCCAAGAGUUCAUAUCGACGGCGGUGUUUGGCACCUCGAUGUCGGCUCAUCACAUCCUGGGGCUGAAGUAGGUCCCAAGGGUAUGGCUGUUCGCCAUUUAAAGUGGUACGCGAGCUGGGUUUAGAACGUCGUGAGACAGUUCGGUCCCUAUCUGCCGUGGGCGCUGGAGAAUUGAGGGGGGCUGCUCCUAGUACGAGAGGACCGGAGUGGACGCAUCACUGGUGUUCGGGUUGUCAUGCCAAUGGCACUGCCCGGUAGCUAAAUGCGGAAGAGAUAAGUGCUGAAAGCAUCUAAGCACGAAACUUGCCCCGAGAUGGUUAGGAUUAAAACGCAUCCUGACCGCCAGCUCUACCGGCAGCACGCUGUUAUCCCGAUAGCGGGCGAUAAAACUGUUUACUUCGCCGGUGAUAAUAUUCUGGAUGUAACCGU